CAGGUAUUAUUUUAACAAUAUUAAUUCUUUAAAUUCAUGCAAAAGACACAUGAAACACUGAAGAAGGAUGAGAAGUUGGAAGGAGAACUAGUAAACCUUGAAAGUUACAUGGAAAUGAAUAUGUUAGAACAUAGUCCAUUGAAACGCUGUAAACAGGAGGAUGAAGAAAGAGCAAGUCAGAAGAUAGCAGAACAAUUAGAAAAAAAUCAAUCAAUUUAUACAGACACAGAAAAUAUCUCAAGAAAAGUUACAGAGGUUAAGAGAGGAAAACAGUGCUUCCAUGAAAAAUCAGAUGGAACUUGUAAUUAAAGCUCUGAAACUUGAAAUCUAUAAGGCAAAAACUUCACAAGCAGACUACAGUACAACAGAAUUGGAAAAAUAUAAGGAACUGUAUCUAGAACAAUUAAAACUGAGAGAAUCUAUAUCAGAUGAACAAGGAAAACGUGAAAAAAUUCUAGCAGAUGUCAGUACCAGACUUCAAGAAAAAGAGCAGAGCAAAUCUUUAUUUACUUCUCAUACUGCAAGGCCAGCCCUGGAGUUAGCAUGCAAUGGAAAUCUUAAUGAAAAUUUAGGUCUGAACAGAAUACAUGUUCCAAGAGAAACCUUAAGGAUUUCUACCUCAAGCUUACUGUCCUCAGAUAACAGAAUGGAUAACGACUUGCCAAAGGAGACAAGAACUGAGGACACUUUCUGGAACUCCGGGCUUGGCAACGUCUCUUAGUGCCGUGACUCGCAUCCUGUCAUGAGCAGUUAUGAUGCUGGGGAUCACCAUGUGGCUUCACUACUCCAAGAUAAAGCUGUAUUACUCAUCUCUGGCAGAGGAAGUUGUAAAGGUCCCAUGAGACACCUGCACCAUUGAGCCGCUCCAGGGUCUCAAACUCCUCUCAAGCAAAGCCAAAAGAAUAAAGAUAAGUAAAUUAGUAAUGCUUUGGCCUGUUAUACCAUGAAUCAUAAUACUCCUUGAGGUUUACUAUUAUGAACAAACACCCCCUCCGGGAAAAGGUCUGUUCUUACCUACCUGGAUUUAAACCUCAAAGCCAUAAUCUAGGUGGUGUUCUCUCUAAUACUCACUGAGUUAUCAGCUUCUUUUUCCAUAAUCAACAGACCUCUUGAUUUGACUCUAAUCUGUUCUCUUUGGGAGCAUGCAGCCAAAUGCUCUAUACUCACUAAUGCUUUUAGCUAAAAUCACCCUCAUAGGCCCCAACAACCCACAACCAUGUCAAAAAACUCUACAAGCAGCUCAACAACUACUAAAGCUCACCAAAUCUUCCUGUGCCUCAUUAUUGGCUAUGCAUGAAUUCUCUCCAUCCAGUGUAGGAAUAACCUACCCAGCCAUGAUACCAGAAUAGACAACUAUUCAAGCCCAAUUUAGCUUCACCUAUCACUGGACACUCUCUUUACCAAACCUUCUCAGAGAUGCAUACAGUACCUAACAAAGUGAAGGGACUUUCAGGCUCUUCUUAAGAACAGUUACGCUUUUAGGCCCCUUGUUUUCCCCCAUCACCCUCAUCAGCCAGGUACCCCUAGGCAUCACUACUACCAGAGAUUCUGGAACUUGUGUGUGGGUUCUCUCAACACUGCACACUGUAACACAAACAUCACCAUUGUUAAUACCGCUCAUACUUUUUUUUUUUUAGAAACUAAAAUCUCCGAAUACCAAGUAAGGUUCUCUACCUGACCAAGCUGGUAGCGGUCAUGCAAAAAGUUUCAAAUCUUUAACUCCCUUUGGAGGCUCUUCUCCUUGACAUUAAUAGACACAUGCUCUCCUGGGAAAAUAAGAACCAUACUCCUAUUCAAACUAGUCACUCAUGUCUGGCUCCCCUAGCAGCUGUAACUUUCGUGACAGAAUAUCACGUCUUGGGUAGCCAACAAGGGUACUGGUAAAGUUUAGAAUUGACCUUGCCUCCUUCCAUAUUCAUUCUUGUCUAUCCAUGACAGAACUGUGUUUUCUAUGUGGGACACAGGCCCACCUCUGUCUCCCUGCAAACAGGACCAGAACAUGCACUCUGGCUUACCUCACUGCUGGCAUCUCCAUAGCCCCGGGCGAUGCUUCUCUGCCCUUGCUCUUAUUUAUAACCUCACACUGGACCCACUAAGCAAUUCCACUAAUUCCCUUUCUCAUUGGGCUUGGCAUCACUACAGGUGCCACGAUGGGAAUAGCUGGCAUUGGCACUUACUCCUGAACCUACCACAGCCUAUCUCAGGAAUUGGCUCAAGAGAUAGAAACCACUGCUUGAGCUAUAACAGAGUUACAGUGGCAAGUCAGUUAUCUCGCAGCUAUAGUUCUCAAACACAGUAAAGGUCUUGACAUGCUGGCUGCCGAUCAGGGAGGAACUUGUCAAUGCUUAGAGAAGAGUGCUGAUCUGGGCUAAGACAUCAGGACAGGCUCAGGAGCACAUUAGAGAUCUCAUAAACCAGGCUUCUCACCUUUGGGAAAUGACUACUGAGGGUUGGCUCUCCUGGAGUGUCAUCUGGUUCUGAUUCUUAUGGCUCCUCCCUUUCCUGGGACCCCUGACAUCUAUCUUCCUUCUUCUCCUUUCUGGGCCUUGCUUCUUGAAUCUACUAAGUUUAUUUCAUCCCAUCUAGAAGCUGUCAGACUUCAGAUGGUCUUGUGACAAGGAUUUCAACCUCCUUCCUACCCUUGAAGACAACCAAGUUUCUGUAUGUCUCCUCUGGACACUGUGUGUGAAACCUUCUGAGAGACAGCAACAACCUCUGAAGCCUUCUCACCACGACAGCAAGCAAGGGGAGGGACCUAGAAGACACUCGACGCCCCUUUUCAGCAGGAAGUAGCUACAGAAGAAUGACCUCCACCCCAUUUCCCAAAAGAUUUCUGAGUCCCAGCCCCUUAAGGAAUAAAUGUAAGAGUAGGCAGUUUGUCAGGCAUUAGCAGGCAGGAGGGGAAGUGCCCAUGUUGGAAGGAACUGCCCAGAACACCUCUUAAGAUGCUCAGUACUCACUCUAUGAUCAAACUAUCAAAAUAUGGUUAACUAGAUCCUGAUAAGGGAGAAAAAAAGGCAAAAGCAGAAUUCUUGAGAGCCACGCAGGUGCAAUGAAUAAAAUUUGAUGGCUGUAUGACCUUCCUGGGUGGCAGUAAUGAGCAGUGUCCCAGUUGGGUGGAUUUGUAUUGAUCACUAUGUCCAGUGCAUGUGCUUUAACUACAAUAAGGGAGGAUCCCCCAAGCCUUGUUGAGAACUGGACAAGGAAGGAAACCAGACCAUAGAAGAUCAAAUGUGGAAUGUCCCAGCAAGGUUUCCAGCAGGAUCAACCCACUCCUGUCUUGAAAUGUACUUUUACUUCCCCAGUAAAACUUUUACCUGCUUUACUAA